rnacentral:rRNA from 1 species
UGGGGGAUAUUGCACAAUGGGCGAAAGCCUGAUGCAGCGACGCCGCGUGGGGGAUGAAGGCCUUCGGGUUGUAAACUUCUUUUGCUCUGAACAAGGCAUGCUAAUGGGUGUGUUGAGUGUAGGGGUUGAUUAGCGCCGGCUAACUACGUGCCAGCAGCCGCGGUAAUACGUAGGGCGCGAACGUUGUCCGGAAUUAUUGGGCGUAAAGGGCUUGUAGGUGGCUGGUUGCGUCUGUCGUGAAAGCUCAUGGCUUAACUGUGGGUUUGCGGUGGGUACGGGCUGGCUUGAGUGCAGUAGGGGAGGCUGGAAUUCCUGGUGUGGCGGUGGAAUGCGCAGAUAUCAGGAGGAAUACCGGUGGCGAAGGCGUGUCUCUGGGCUGUUACUGACACUGAGGAGCGAAAGCAUGGGGAGCGAACAGG